CCACAGCAUAGUCCUUUAGUCUCUAUGGACCAGGUGGCCAGUUGGUGAGGGCCACAGCAUAGUCCUUUAGUCUCUAUGGACCAGGUGGCCAGUUGGUGAGGGCCACAGCAUAGUCCUUUAGUCUCUAUGGACCAGGUGGUCAGUUGGUGAGGGCCACAGCAUAGUCCUUUAGUCUCUAUGGACCAGGUGGUCAGUUGGUGAGGGCCACAGCAUAGUCCUUUAGUCUCUAUGGACCAGGUGGUCAGUUGGUGAGGGCCACAGCAUAGUCCUUUAGUCUCUAUGGACCAGGUGGUCAGUUGGUGAGGGCCACAGCAUAGUCCUUUAGUCUCUAUGGACCAGAAGGCCAGUUGGUGAGAGCCACAGCAUGGUCCUUUAGUCUCUAUGGACCAGGUGGCCAGUUGGUGAGAGCCACAGCAUAGUCCUUUAGUCUCUAUGGACCAGGUGGCCAGUUGGUGAGGGCCACAGCAUGGUCCUUUAGUCUCUAUGGACCAGGUGGUCAGUUGGUGAGGGCCACAGCAUAGUCCUUUAGUCUCUAUGGACCAGGUGGCCAGUUGGUGAGAGCCACAGCAUGGUCCUUUGGUCUCUAUGGACCAGGUGGCCAGUUGGUGAGAGCCACAGCAUAGUCCUUUAGUCUCUAUGGGCCAGGUGGCCAGUUGGUGAGAGCCACAGCAUAGUCAUUUAGUCUCUAUGGGCCAGAUGGUCAGUUGGUGAGGGCCACAGCAUAGUCCUUUAGUCUCUAUGGACCAGGUGGCCAGUUGGUGAGAGCCACAGCAUAGUCAUUUAGUCUCUAUGGACCAGAUGACCAGUUGGUGAGGGCCACAGCAUAGUCCUUUAGUCUCUAUGGGCCAGAUGACCAGUUGGUGAGGGCCACAGCAUAGUCCUUUAGUCUCUACGGGCCAGAUGGCCAGUUGGUGAGGGCCACAGCAUAGUCCUUUAGUCUCUAUGGACCAGGUGGUCAGUUGGUGAGGGCCACAGCAUAGUCCUUUAGUCUCUAUGGACCAGAUGACCAGUUGGUGAGGGCCACAGCAUAGUCCUUUAGUCUAUAUGGACCAGGUGGCCAGUUGGUGAGGGCCACAGCAUAGUCCUUUAGUCUCUAUGGGCCAGGUGCCAGUUGGUGAGGGCCACAGCAUAGUCCUUUAGUCUCUAUGGGGCAGAUGGUCAGUUGGUGAGGGCCACAGCAUAGUCCUUUAGUCUCUAUGGGCCAGGUGCCAGUUGGUGAGGGCCACAACAUGGGGAAAGAAACUGUUCAUAUGGGGGUCUAUAACAUCUAAUCACAGCAUCUGACAGUUGCAACUUCAUUGCUAAUAACUGCCUUAUUUAUAUAAAGACAUCAUCUCUGUACAGAUGUAAGAUCUGAAUUUGAUCAACCUGUCACAGGAAAACUAAAAUGUGUACUAUAUUUGAGUGUAUUUAAAUAAAGCUUUAAAAAAGGUUUCUGAAGAUGAUAAAUUACACUUUUCCAUUUUAAAAUGGUUCAUUAAUUA
ensembl:lncRNA